CCUCUCUUCCAGAUCUACAGCCCCCCCCCUCUUUUGGCUUAAAAUAACUCACUGUUGUCGGCUACGGCCGCUGAACACGCUACACGCUGUAAACAGCCGUGGUCUGCAUGCCUGGUCCUACC